rnacentral:rRNA from 1 species
UACGUAGGGGGCAAGCGUUGUCCGGAUUUAUUGGGCGUAAAGAGCGUGUAGGCGGCUUGGAAGGUCAGCUGUGAAAACUCGAGGCUCAACCUCGAGACGUCGGUUGAAACCACCUGGCUAGAGUCCGGAAGAGGAGAGUGGAAUUCCCGGUGUAGCGGUGAAAUGCGCAGAUAUCGGGAAGAACACCCGUGGCGAAGGCGGCUCUCUGGGACGGUACUGACGCUGAGACGCGAAAGCGUGGGGAGCGAACGGG